CACGUAGGGGGCGAGCGUUGUCCGGAUUUAUUGGGCGUAAAGAGCUCGUAGGCGGCUCAGUAAGUCAGGUGUGAAAACUCCAGGCUCAACCUGGAGACGCCACCUGAUACUGCUGUGGCUAGAGUCCGGUAGGGGAGCAUGGAAUUCCUGGGUGUAGCGGUGAAAUGCGUAGAUAUCGGGAGGAACACCAGUGGCGGAAGGCGACUUCCUGGCCUGUUCUUGACGCU
rnacentral:rRNA from 1 species